UGCAAACCGAUGGGGAUUUGCAAGCCGGUUCCUAAUUAUGUUGUGUGUGUACAAGGCUGCUGUCAAAACGCUAAUAUGAUGUCUCUGAAGCGGGAGGAGGCCUUUGAAUGAGCAACUUCCAGCCCAGGCUCCUGCCUGUAAGGAUAAGGACCGGAUCGAGCAUCCUCAUUUAGAGCCUUUCACAUAACCCAGGCUAUCACCAUUUCUAACAGAAUGAGAGACAUGGCACUCUGAAAAGAGCUUAAUGUUUCUUUGAAUAAGAUGAUUAAAAAGAAGAUUCACAUCAAUGAUUUAAUCUGGGCCACUGUUGAUGAAGUUCAGAAAGGAGAAUUUGUUCCAGAGGCCUGUGGAGAGAACGGGAAGAGGACAGAAAAUACAGCUUAGUGCUGGAGCAGCAGAGGAAGCUUCCACAGUCACUGACAUCAGCUGCUGGGUCCUGGCUGGCUGAAGCAAGCUUAGGCUUGCAGACUGACUGGAGAGGAGGGCACGGCAUUGGGGAAAGGAGGAUAAUUGGAACUUUGGAACUUUCUUGCAUGUUUCUGAGCCACUUAUAACUCUUUUUUGUGAAGGGAAUUUUUAUUCUAUAAGAUAAUGUUUGGUUGUUCAUGUGUGGGAAUUCUUAUAAUUCUAGCAUCGACUCCCUUAGUGUUCAUAAUAUAAAUAGUUCCUCCA
ensembl:processed_transcript Gm29999 predicted gene, 29999